CAUGCGCACCGCCUUUAGGACUCCUGAGGUGAGACGCGAGGAGGCUGUUUUGGCUAUCCUGGAUACCUUGCAUUUCCAUGUGAAUUUUAGAAUCAGCUUGACCAUUUCUGGAAAAAAAAAGGUCAUUGGAAUUUUAUAGUAAUUAUGCUGAAUAUAUUGAUCAAUUGGAAUCAUAUUUGACUUAUAGAUCCAGUAAAAGCCCUUUGGGAAAACUGGCCUCAUACCUACUCUACACAGUUCCUGUACAGGAUUCCUGACCUGUGGCCAUCAAGCACAAGAUAAUCCUCAGUGAGUGAUACAUCCCCUUAAUAUUCAAGAGCCACCCUUCUGCAGGGGGCCGAUAGAAUGCCCCAUCAGUGGGACAAGACAGAGGUGAAAUCCUGCCCCUCUCUUCCUUGGACCUGGCUGGAUACUGCUUUUACCAUCCCAUGGAGUCACACUGCCCUGACAGGUAACAAGAGCCUAAGGCCCACAGAACAACCACCACGGUCCCUCUGUCAGCAGGAGGCAGUUACAGAAGACUGACCUUCAUCCAUUUUCCCCAAAGAAUUGGGGUCUUGGACUCUUGACGUGUGAAAUGUUAUAGUAGGCAGCUAGUCAGACAUCAGCAGGGAAGGAGACAGCCCC